GGAAACGACUGCUAAUACCCAAUGUGCCUAGCGGUGAAAGAUUUAUCACCUGGAGAGGGGCUCGCGUCCGAUUAGCUAGUUGGUGGAGUAAAAGCCUACCAAGGCGUCGAUCGGUAGCUGGUCUGAGAGGAUGAGCAGCCACACUGGGACUGAGACACGGCCCAGACUCCUACGGGAGGCAGCAGUGGGGAAUUUUCCGCAAUGGGCGAAAGCCUGACGGAGCAAUACCGCGUGAGGGAGGAAGGCUUUUGGGUUGUAAACCUCUUUUUUUAAGGAAGAAGAAAGUGACGGUACUUAAAGAAUCAGCAUCGGCUAACUCCGUGCCAGCAGCCGCGGUAAUACGGAGGAUGCAAGCGUUAUCCGGAAUCAUUGGGCGUAAAGCGUCCGCAGGUGGCGAUUCAAGUCUGCUGUUAAAGACAGAAGCUUAACUUCUGAAAAGCGGUGGAAACUGGAUAGCUAGAGUACGGUAGGGGUUGAGGGAAUUCCCAGUGUAGCGGUGAAAUGCGUAGAUAUUGGGAAGAACACCAGUGGCGAAGGCGCUCAACUGGGCCGUAACUGACACUCAGGGACGAAAGCU
rnacentral:rRNA from 1 species